UACGUAGGGGGCAAGCGUUGUCCGGAUUUAUUGGGCGUAAAGAGCGUGUAGGCGGCCAGGUAGGUCUGGUGUGAAAACUCGAGGCUCAACCUCGAGAGGUCAUCGGAAACCAUCUGGCUAGAGUCCGGAAGAGGAGAGUGGAAUUCCCGGUGUAGCGGUGAAAUGCGCAGAUAUCGGGAGGAACACCAGUGGCGAAGGCGGCAUCCUGGACCGGCACUGACGCUGAGGAGCGAAAGCCAGGGGAGCAAACGGG
rnacentral:rRNA from 1 species